rnacentral:rRNA from 1 species
UUAAAUUGAAGAGUUUGAUCAUGGCUCAGAUUGAACGCUGGCGGCAGGCCUAACACAUGCAAGUCGAGCGGCAGCGACAACAUUGAACCUUCGGGGGAUUUGUUG